GACGAACGCUGGCGGCGUGCUUAACACAUGCCAGUCGUACGGUAAGGCCCUUUCGGGGGUACACGAGUGGCGAACGGGUGAGUAACACGUGAGUAACCUGCCCACAACUUUGGGAUAACGCUAGGAAACUGGUGCUAAUACUGGAUAUGUGCUCCUGCUGCAUGGUGGGGGUUGGAAAGCUCCGGCGGUUGUGGAUGGACUCGCGGCCUAUCAGCUUGUUGGUGGGGUAGUGGCCUACCAAGGCGGCGACGGGUAGCCGGCCUGAGAGGGUGACCGGCCACAUUGGGACUGAGAUGCGGCCCAGACUCCUACGGGAGGCAGCAGUGGGGAAUAUUGCACAAUGGGCGCAAGCCUGAUGCAGCAACGCCGCGUGCGGGAUGACGGCCUUCGGGUUGUAAACCGCUUUCAGCAGGGACGAAGCUUUUUGUGACGGUACCUGCAGAAGAAGCACCGGCUAACUACGUG
rnacentral:rRNA from 1 species